GACGAACGCUGGCGGCGUGCUUAACACAUGCAAGUCGAACGAAGAGCGAUGGAAGCUUGCUUCUAUCAAUCUUAGUGGCGAACGGGUGAGUAACGCGUAAUCAACCUGCCCUUCAGAGGGGGACAACAGUUGGAAACGACUGCUAAUACCGCAUACGAUCUAAUCUCGGCAUCGAGGAUAGAUGAAAGGUGGCCUCUACAUGUAAGCUAUCACUGAAGGAGGGGAUUGCGUCUGAUUAGCUAGUUGGAGGGGUAACGGCCCACCAAGGCGAUGAUCGGUAGCCGGUCUGAGAGGAUGAACGGCCACAUUGGGACUGAGACACGGCCCAGACUCCUACGGGAGGCAGCAGUGGGGAAUCUUCCGCAAUGGACGAAAGUCCGACGGAGCAACGCCGCGUGAGUGAUGACGGCCGUCGGGUUGUAAAGCUCUGUUAAUCGGGACGAAAGGCCUUCUUGCGAAUAGUGAGAAGGAUUGACGGUACCGGAAUAGAAAGCCACGGCUAACUACGUG
rnacentral:rRNA from 1 species